UACGACGGGGGGUAGCGUUGUUCGGAAUUACUGGGCGUAAAGCGCACGUAGGCGGAUUUGUUAGUCAGGGGUGAAAUCCCGGGGCUCAACCUCGGAACUGCCUUUGAUACUGCAAGUCUAGAGUCCGGAAGAGGUGAGUGGAAUUCCUAGUGUAGAGGUGAAAUUCGUAGAUAUUAGGAAGAACACCAGUGGCGAAGGCGGCUCACUGGUCCGGUACUGACGCUGAGGUGCGAAUGCGUGGGGAGCAAACAGG
rnacentral:rRNA from 1 species